rnacentral:lncRNA from 1 species
CACAGAGCGAAGCGGCGUCCUCACUCGGGGUCACCUGUCCUCCCGCUGGGCUCUCCCCCGCAGCGCCCCAUCCCUCUUUCUUCUUUCCUUCCUUCCUUCUUUUCUCUCUCUUCCUCCUCCCUCUUUCUGCCCUAGAACUCGUCACUGUCACCUCGCAGCCUUCCUGGGCUCCUCUGGGCGGUGCAGCCGCUCAGGCUCUGUGUCCCAUGCUGUCAUUUUGAGGAGUGCUGCUCACGGGGAUUUGGCCGCUGUCCAUCCACAGGGAGGCUGGGCCAGGGUUGGUCUCUGGUCAGUUCCUGGGAAGGUGGACAAUGGCCCCAACCCACACCAGAGGAGUCUCUGCACCUCAUUCUCAGAGAUAAACCGGGACAGCAGACGGGCCUGGCCGCCAGCAGCUCUCACACUUUCCAGCCCCGGGGACCGGCAUGUGGCGUGGCGCCUCCCAGCUGAGCCAUCAGCCCCUGACUGCGCAGCAUCCAGCAGUCUCUGGGCUGGGGUGAGGGCUUCUAGAAAGUUCUCUGUGUGGGAGGCACGUGACAUCGGGCUGGACACAUGUGCCGGGCUCCAGAGAAGCCAGAGCCGAAACUGCGCCUUCCCAUAGGAGGCCGGACGCUGACCCUGAGGCCACAGGGACGCACGCCCACCCUACUCUGCCCCAGUACAGGGUGGAGCUGUUGUAAACAGUGGAUCCUGUGACCAGGGCCUGAUGGAGGCAGGAGCCCCCCUCGGAGCAGGGCCGGCGUCCAGGCCUCUGCGGCUCUGCUGCAAGAUGCCUC